CAGCCGCCGCGGUAAUACGAAGGGGGCUAGCGUUGCUCGGAAUUACUGGGCGUAAAGGGCGCGUAGGCGGCCGAUCAAGUCAGAGGUGAAAGCCCAAGGCUCAACCUUGGAAUUGCCUUUGAUACUGUUCGGCUCGAGACCGGAAGAGGUUAGUGGAACUGCGAGUGUAGAGGUGAAAUUCGUAGAUAUUCGCAAGAACACCAGUGGCGAAGGCGGCUAACUGGUCCGGUUCUGACGCUGAGGCGCGAAAGCGUGGGGAGCAAACAGGAUUAGAUACCCCUGUAGUCCCUGUCUCUUAUAA
rnacentral:rRNA from 1 species